rnacentral:tRNA from 1 species
CUGGACCGUGGCGCAGCCUGGUAGCGCGCUUGCUUGGGGUGCAAGAGGCCGUGGGUUCGAAUCCCGCCGUCCCGACCA